rnacentral:rRNA from 1 species
AUGGAGAGUUUGAUCCUGGCUCAGGAUAAACGCUAGCGGCAGGCCUUACACAUGCAAGUCGAGGGGUAGAAUAUCUUCGGAUAUUUGAGACCGGCGCACGGGUGCGUAACACGUAUGCAACCUACCUUUUACUGGGGAAUAGCCCGAAGAAAUUCGGAUUAAUGCCCCAUAUGCUUGCACAACCGCAUGGUUGAGCAAGGAAAGCUCCGGCGGUAAAAGAUGGGCAUGCGUCCUAUUAGCUUGUUGGUGAGGUAAUGGCUCACCAAGGCUACGAUAGGUAGGGGACCUGAGAGGGUGAACCCCCACACUGGUACUGAGACACGGACCAGACUCCUACGGGAGGCAGCAGUGAGGAAUAUUGGGCAAUGGAGGAAACUCUGACCCAGCCAUGCCGCGUGCAGGAAGACGGCCCUCUGGGUUGUAAACUGCUUUUAUAUGGGAAUAAACCCUUCCACGUGUGGAAGGCUGAAGGUACCAUAAGAAUAAGGAUCGGCUAACUCCGUGCCAGCAGCCGCGGUAAUACGGAGGAUCCAAGCGUUAUCCGGAUUUAUUGGGUUUAAAGGGUCCGUAGGCGGGUCUUUAAGUCAGUGGUGAAAGCCUGCAGCUUAACUGUAGAAUUGCCAUUGAUACUGAAGACCUUGAGUGUAGUAGAAGUAGGCGGAAUAUGGCAUGUAGCGGUGAAAUGCAUAGAUAUGCCAUAGAACACCGAUUGCGAAGGCAGCUUACUAUGUUACAACUGACGCUGAGGGACGAAAGCGUGGGUAGCAAACAGGAUUAGAUACCCUGGUAGUCCACGCCGUAAACGAUGAUUACUCGCUGUUAGCGAUAUACAGUUAGCGGCCAAGCGAAAGCAUUAAGUAAUCCACCUGGGGAGUACGCCGGCAACGGUGAAACUCAAAGGAAUUGACGGGGGCCCGCACAAGCGGUGGAGCAUGUGGUUUAAUUCGAUGAUACGCGAGGAACCUUACCAGGGCUUAA